rnacentral:rRNA from 1 species
GACGAACGCUGGCGGCGUGCCUAAUACAUGCAAGUCGAGCGGACGGAUGGGAGCUUGCUCCCAGCCCGUCAGCGGCGGACGGGUGAGUAACACGUGGGCAACCUGCCUGUAAGACUGGGAUAACUCCGGGAAACCGGGGCUAAUACCGGAUAACUCUUUCCCUCACAUGAGGGAAAGCUGAAAGAUGGCAUCUCGCUAUCACUUACAGAUGGGCCCGCGGCGCAUUAGCUAGUUGGUGAGGUAACGGCUCACCAAGGCGACGAUGCGUAGCCGACCUGAGAGGGUGAUCGGCCACACUGGGACUGAGACACGGCCCAGACUCCUACGGGAGGCAGCAGUAGGGAAUCUUCCGCAAUGAACGAAAGUCUGACGGAGCAACGCCGCGUGAGUGAUGAAGGUUUUCGGAUCGUAAAACUCUGUUGUCAGGGAAGAACAAGUACCGGAGUAACUGCCGGUACCUUGACGGUACCUGACCAGAAAGCCACGGCUAACUACGUG